CCUACGGGGAGCAGCAGUGAGGAAUAUUGGUCAAUGGCCGGAAGGCUGAACCAGCCAUGCCGCGUGAAGGUCAGUGCCCUAUGGGCGUUAAACUUCUUUUGUGCGGGAGCAAUAAUGGUCACGUGUGGCCAGACGAGAGUACCGUACGAAUAAGCAUCGGCUAACUCCGUGCCAGCAGCCGCGGUCAUACGGGGGAUGCAAGCGUUGUCCGGCUUUAUUGGGUUUAAAGGGUGCGUAGGCUGUGAGGUAAGUCAGCGGUGAAAUGCCCCCGCUCAACGGGGUGAAGUGCCAUUGAUACUGCCUGGCUGGAAUGCGGAUGCCGGGGGAGGAAUGUGUGGUGUAGCGGUGAAAUGCAUAGAUAUCACACAGAACACCGAUUGCGAAGGCAUCUCACGAAUCCGCGAUUGACGCUGAUGCACGAAAGCGUGGGUAUCAAACAGGAUUAGAUACCCCAGUAGUC
rnacentral:rRNA from 1 species